CCUACGGGAGGCAGCAGUGGGGAAUAUUGCACAAUGGGCGCAAGCCUGAUGCAGCCAUGCCGCGUGUGUGAAGAAGGCCUUCGGGUUGUAAAGCACUUUCAGCGGGGAGGAAGGCGGUGAGGUUAAUAACCUCAUCGAUUGACGUUACCCGCAGAAGAAGCACCGGCUAACUCCGUGCCAGCAGCCGCGGUAAUACGGAGGGUGCAAGCGUUAAUCGGAAUUACUGAGCGCAAAGCGCACGCAGGCGGUCUGUCAAGUCGGAUGUGAAAUCCCCGGGCUCAACCUGGGAACUGCAUUCGAAACUGGCAGGCUAGAGUCUUGUAGAGGGGGGUAGAAUUCCAGGUGUAGCGGUGAAAUGCGUAGAGAUCUGGAGGAAUACCGGUGGCGAAGGCGGCCCCCUGGACAAAGACUGACGCUCAGGUGCGAAAGCGUGGGGAGCAAACAGGAUUAGAUACCCCGGUAGUC
rnacentral:rRNA from 1 species